UGGAUCCAGACUUUGAUCCUGGCUCAGGAUGAACGCUAGCUACAGGCUUAACACAUGCAAGUCGAGGGGCAGCAUAUCGGUAGCUUGCUACUGGUGAUGGCGACCGGCGCACGGGUGAGUAGCGCGUAUCCAACCUUCCCACGACUGGGGAAUAACCUUGCGAAAGUAAAACUAAUACCCCAUGGUUUCCGAGGCGGACAUCCAAUUUGGAAUAAAGAUUCAUCGGUCAUGGAUGGGGAUGCGCCUGAUUAGCUUGUUGGCGGGGUAACGGCCCACCAAGGCGACGAUCAGUAGGGGUUCUGAGAGGAAGGUCCCCCACAUUGGAACUGAGACACGGUCCAAACUCCUACGGGAGGCAGCAGUGAGGAAUAUUGGUCAAUGGACGAGAGUCUGAACCAGCCAAGUAGCGUGCAGGAUGACGGCCCUAUGGGUUGUAAACUGCUUUUAUACGGGAAUAAAGUGGCUCACGUGUGGGUUUUUGUAUGUACCGUAUGAAUAAGGACCGGCUAAUUCCGUGCCAGCAGCCGCGGUAAUACGGAAGGUCCGGGCGUUAUCCGGAUUUAUUGGGUUUAAAGGGAGCGUAGGCCGCCGAUUAAGCGUGUUGUGAAAUGCCGCAGCUCAACUGUGGCACUGCAGCGCGAACUGGUUGGCUUGAGUGCGCGGAAGGCAGGCGGAAUUUGUGGUGUAGCGGUGAAAUGCUUAGAUAUCACGAAGAACCCCGAUUGCGAAGGCAGCUUGCCGCAGCGUAACUGACGCUGAAGCUCGAAAGUGCGGGUAUCGAACAGGAUUAGAUACCCUGGUAGUCCGCACGGUAAACGAUGGAUGCCCGCUGUUCCGGCUAUAUGUUGGAGUGGCCAAGCGAAAGCGUUAAGCAUCCCACCUGGGGAGUACGCCGGCAACGGUGCAACUCAAAGGAAUUGACGGA
rnacentral:rRNA from 1 species